rnacentral:misc_RNA from 1 species
UUGGACAAUUGUGGAAUCAAAGAAUGGGAACUGUAUACAGUUGAUAAUUGUUCAUGCCAAGGGCCUCCACUAGGAAUUCCAGAGGGCUCAUGUUUGCAUUCUACAAUUGUUGUUGAAGAUGAGAAAANNNNNGGCUAUUUCAUAAUGUUUCAGAGGAAUUAGAUGGAUUCAUGAAUUUGCAUGAAAAGACAGAUUAGGAGCAAAUUUGUCCACGUAGAGGUGAGUAUACAUUAUCAGA